UUAUUGAGGCCAGGGCUUCUGGGAAGUCUCCCCAGCCUCAGCUGCUGAGUAACAAGGAGAAAGCCGAGGCCAGGAAGCUCUGGGAGUACAAGAACUCCGUCAUCUCUCAGGCUGGAGUGCAAUGGCGCAAUCUCAGCUCACUGCAGGCUCCACCUCCCAGGUUCAAGAGAUUCUCCUGCCUCAGCCUCCCAAGUAGCUGGGAUUACAGGUGACCACCCAUUUCACAGAGGACUUCUCACUGAAUUCUGCAAUUUCUCAGCUGAUGGGACUCAGCAAUGCCCUCUCGCAAGCCUCUCAGAGUGUCAUUCUCCACAGCCCUGAGUUUGAGGAUGCUUUGUGUGCCCUGAUGGUGAUGGCUGCUCCAAUGGCCCCUCAUGUAACCUCAGAGAUCUGGGCAGGCCUGGCGCUGGUGCCGAGGAAGCUCUGUGCCCACUACACUUGGGACGCCAGUGUGCUGCUCCAGGCAUGGCCUGCCGUGGACCCGGAGUUCCUGCAGCAGCCUGAGGUUGUCCAGAUGGCAGUUCUGAUCAACAAUAAAGCUUGUGGAAAAAUUCCUGUGCCCCAACAAGUUGCCCGGGAC
rnacentral:sRNA from 1 species